rnacentral:lncRNA from 1 species
AUGGCACUGAUAGAUUUCAGAUCUGACGCACGAAUUUUGAGAAAACUGGAGAUAUAGGUAUUCUGUGUAUUUUGUGUAGUUUUGCUAUUGGAGAGAGGAUGGGUUUCGUCGCAAAUAUGUGACCAAAAUAGGCGAAACAAAAUCGUGGAUUUGAUGUCUCUAUCUUGCUGAUCGUACUGGUACGAACCGUUCAAAAAUUCGACGGACGGAUCGCUAGAUAUCACAUGUUUUCCGAGGUGAGGU